rnacentral:rRNA from 1 species
UACGGGGGGUGCAAGCGUUACUCGGAAUCACUGGGCGUAAAGAGCAUGUAGGCGGAUUAAUAAGUUUGAAGUGAAAUCCUAUAGCUUAACUAUAGAACUGCUUUGAAAACUGUUAAUCUAGAAUGUGGGAGAGGUAGAUGGAAUUUCUGGUGUAGGGGUAAAAUCCGUAGAGAUCAGAGGGAAUACCGAUUGCGAAGGCGAUCUACUGGAACAUUAUUGACGCUGAGAUGCGAAAGCGUGGGGAGCAAACAGGAUUAGAUACCCUGGUAGUCCACGCCCUAAACGAUGUACACUAGUUGUUGUGAGACUUGAUCUUGCAGUAAUGCAGUUAACACAUUAAGUGUACCGCCUGGGGAGUACGGUCGCAAGAUUAAAACUCAAAGGAAUAGACGGGGACCCGCACAAGCGGUGGAGCAUGUGGUUUAAUUCGACGAUACGCGAGGAACCUUACCUGGACUUGACAUAGUAAGAACUUUCUAGAGAUAGAUUGGUGUCUGCUUGCAGAAACUUAUAUACAGGUGCUGCACGGCUGUCGUCAGCUCGUGUCGUGAGAUGUUGGGUUAAGUCCCGCAACGAGCGCAACCCUCGUGUUUAGUUGCUAACAGUUCGGCUGAGAACUCUAAACAGACUGCCUACGCAAGUAGGAGGAAGGUGAGGACGACGUCAAGUCAUCAUGGCCCUUACGUCCAGGGCUACACACGUGCUACAAUGGGAUAUACAAAGAGCGGCAAUACGGUGACGUGGAGCAAAUCUUAUAAAAUAUCUCCCAGUUCGGAUUGUAGUCUGCAACUCGACUACAUGAAGUUGGAAUCGCUAGUAAUCGUAGAUCAGCUAUGCUACGGUGAAUACGUUCCCGGGUCU